rnacentral:rRNA from 1 species
AAUGAACGCUGGCGGCAUGCCUAACACAUGCAAGUCGAACGAGACCUUCGGGUCUAGUGGCGCACGGGUGCGUAACGCGUGGGAAUCUGCCCUUGGGUUCGGAAUAACAGUGAGAAAUUACUGCAAAUACCGAAUGAUGACGUAAGUCCAAAGAUUUAUCGCCCAAGGAUGAGCCCGCGUAGGAUUAGCUAGUUGGUGAG